rnacentral:rRNA from 1 species
AUACGGAGGGUGCGAGCGUUAUUCGGAAUUACUGGGCGUAAAGCGCGUGCAGGCGGUUUGACAAGUCUGAUGUGAAAGCCCCGGGCUUAGCCUGGGAAGUGCAUUGGAAACUGGCUGGCUUGAGUACUGGAGAGGAAGGGGGAAUUCCCGGUGUAGAGGUGAAAUUCGUAGAGAUCGGGAGGAAUACCAGUGGCGGAGGCGCCCUUCUGGACGGUUACUGACGCUGAGACGCGAAAGCGUGGGGAGCAAACAGGAUUAGAUACCCUGGUAGUCCACGCUGUAAACGGUGGAUACUAGGUGUAGGAGGUAUCGACCCCUUCUGUGCCGCAGCUAACGCAAUAAGUAUCCCGCCUGGGGAGUACGGUCGCAAGGCUGAA